GCCUAGUUAGCUUAGUUGGUAGUGCGUCUGCCUUGUAAGCGCUAGGCCGCGGGUUCGAUUCCCGCCCGAUGUU
rnacentral:tRNA from 1 species